UACGUAGGGUGCAAGCGUUAAUCGGAAUACUGGGCGUAAAGCGUGCGCAGGCGGUGAUGUAAGACAGUUGUGAAAUCCCCGGGCUCAACCUGGGAACUGCAUCUGUGACUGCAUCGCUGGAGUGCGGGCAGAGGGGGAUGGAAUUCCGCGUGUAGCAGUGAAAUGCGUAGAUAUGCGGAGGAACACCGAUGGCGAAGGCAAUCCCCUGGGCCUGCACUGACGCUCAUGCACGAAAGCGUGGGGAGCAAACAGG
rnacentral:rRNA from 1 species